ACGGCAGCCCGGUGAAGCCAAGGUCGAACCGGAAGAGAAGGUUCGUCCUCCCGACCCGGGCACCCAGCACGGCCCCCGGAACCCACGCGGAGUCAUAGCCGCGAUAAUGGCAGAAUUGUUGCGGGCCUGCGUAAUUGCGAAAUUCAGAUGGUACCGGCGGUCCUUUGGGUGGGGCUGCAGCCAGAAGGGUCGCAAAAGCGCCGAGGCCAACCCACGCAGCCCACAAAUGCACGCUUGGUAACCGAGAUCCGUGUUGGCGGGCGGCGACUCGAAAAUACUUUCGGUCGCCGCCCGCAUUGCAUU
rfam:Mycobacterium ulcerans str. Harvey Harvey.contig.169, whole genome shotgun sequence.